GACGAACGCUGGCGGCGUGCUUAACACAUGCAAGUCGAACGGAAAGGCCCUGCAUUUGUGGGGUGCUCGAGUGGCGAACGGGUGAGUAACACGUGAGUAACCUGCCCUUGACUUUGGGAUAACUUCAGGAAACUGGGGCUCAUACCGGAUAGGAGCUCCUGCUGCAUGGUGGGGGUUGGAAAGUUUCGGCGGUUGGGGAUGGACUCGCGGCUUAUCAGCUUGUUGGUGGGGUAGUGGCUUACCAAGGCUUUGACGGGUAGCCGGCCUGAGAGGGUGACCGGCCACAUUGGGACUGAGAGACGGCCCAGACGCCUACGGUAGGCAGCAGUGGGGAAUAUUGCACAAUGGUCGGAAGCCUGAUGCAGCAACGCCGCGUGCGUGAUGACGGCCUUCGGGUUGUAAACCGCUUUCGCCUGUGACGAAGCGUGAGUGACGGUAAUGGGUAAAGAAGCACCGGCUAACUACGUG
rnacentral:rRNA from 1 species